rnacentral:lncRNA from 1 species
AUUGGUCGUAAAGCUGAAGUUGGACAAAGCGGUAAGUUUACACAAAGACGCGGAGAACGCCGGUUUGAGGUAUGCUGACGUGAUUGACGUAUGCUGACGUGAUUGAGGUAUGCUGAUGUGAUUGAGGUAUGCUGACGUCAUUGAGGAUGCAUAUUCAAGUUCGAUAGAACGUAUCAGAUCUCUUCCGCUCCCAAAAUGUGACCUAUCUUAUGACGUCACGAACCUGAGAUUAUUUGUCACAGCCAGAAAGUUCCCGGGCACCCAAGAAUAUUUGAAGGAAAGAUUUAGUAGAGAUGAACAAACGUAUUUUCUUCUCGCAAGGAAAGUUUACGCUCAGUACAACAGCUCGCCUGGAUGAAAAGCGAACACUUGAACAGGAGAAGGAAACAGAGCGAAAAGUGCUCGAGUUCUAGAAAUAGAAAUAUUCAAAAGCACCAGAAGUCACAGAGGGCUGGUUCUACCUAACGGAAGUUGAAGAAUCACUGUAUUCGGGCUCCAAAAUCUGAGACGCCCAGAAAGUUGUUUUGAUAUUGGAACUACUGACUUCGGAUGGUUAAAUAGCGUCGCCACAAGUAUCAAUGUAGCUAACGUUGCCAACGUUACAGAUAGUGGACCCAGCAUAAAGACAUAUUACAUCACAGCGUUUUACGUUUACGUUGCUGACGUCGACAGGAUUAGGAAACGUGUCACCAAAUACUAACGCCGGGAAAAUAUUCUCAAUAUUUGCUCUUCUGCUUGGUUGCAAGUAGCUUUCGAUUUCUCGUAUAUAUAUUUACCUUGAUAAACGAACAAACCCGGGAAUAUAUAAAUCUAGCUACAACUAUUGAAUAAUACUGGUAAAUGUAGAUUAAUCCUUGAAUAACACCAAGAACUGAGUAGUUCAACAUAUUUUCUUUUGAAAAAAAUAAUUCAGUUUAAAUAAAAACUCGCGUUUUAGCUUCUAUUUUUUCAUUGUUUGAACUUCUUAACAAUAUGUUUUCAAACGGGUAAUACAAGAAAAGAAUUCGAAAAAAAGCUAGCACUAUCUUUGUUCAUCUGUACCCCCACUAUGCUAGUUUUGUAGCAUCUGAAAUUUGUAAAAUAAUAUUGGAUUUCUUAUUUCGAAGUUAUACAAGCAUUAUUUUGUGCAUGAAUGGAGACCUUGAUAGAACCCCGCACAUCCAACAAGUGAACUUAAUGCUUUCCUCACAUGAAAGAAUUCUACUCCACACCGAGGUUUAGAACCUAUAUCGUCGAGAGGCAAGUAAAGUCACCGACCGUAACCACUCGGGUAUGUAGGCCCGUCCUAGCAUUUAUAAAACUCUGAUCGUGUGGCGAAAUAUUCGAAUUUUUGUUCAUAGCAAAGAAAGUGGCAUUCAAACAAUAAAAACACAAACAAUUUUAAUUAAGUGUUUUCCUUCAUAACAUAUAAACAACUUAGCUUUUAUUCUUCAACUUGUAAAGUAUGGAAUGGAAUGUCACUUAGAAUAUUUUUUUUCAGGAUAGCCUCGUGUCUUAACUAUGCAGUGCGCCCCCUGGUGACACAUUGAUACAUCCAGAUGAUAUACAGCCAGCUUUCUGUUUAAUAGCAUGCGGUUCAUUGCAGAUUGUGACAGCAAAAAUGAUAUUAUGGCGAUAAGAGGUAAAGAUGAUAUAAUUGGUCGUGAUCUCAGUGACCUGGAAUGCUCAAGAAAAUCGUGCAUAGAGCUACACUUAUUUAAAAAGGAACUUUGAAUACAUACCCAGAUUUUUCAAAAGAAUUCAAUGAUAAAACACAAGUGACAUUAAAUCUUAAGCGGGAUGGUUAGAUACUGCAGCGACGAGAAUCAUUGAAGCUUACAUUGCCAACGUUACAGAUAGUGGACCCAGCAUAAAGACGUAUUACAUCACAGCGUUAUAUUUUACGUUUACGUCACUGACAUCAACAGGAUUCGGAAACGUGUCACCAAAUACCAAUGGAAUUGACAAGCCGGUAAAGAUGAUAUAUUUGGUGGUGAUUACAGUGACGUGGAAUGCUCUGAAAAAAUCGUUCUAUUUUGUACAUUCCCUUAGUUACUGUGAUAUUAACAAGACAGAGUUGCACGUGCUGAAGGAGACAAUGUAUAAAUAUAACCAAAUCAAAAAGAAUGAAUGGGUAAAAUACAAGUGACAUUCAAUCUUAAGCUCGACGAAUGGGACCACAGAUCGGAGAAGAUGAACCGACGUCUAGAGCAUUCGAAUUUUCUCCGCUAUCAGCAAGUAGUGGUAUAGAUAUGGCGUUCAAAGACAGAUCAGUCAAGACGAACAGUUGACGGAUGUUUCAUUUCUUCAUCAAAUUCCAGCCAGUACGUCAAGGCUACAGUGUGUUUUCGGUGUAUCUAUAAGGUCAUUCUUAGAAACAUCAGACAGUUGAGCGCCCUCUGGUAGUCGGCGCAUUUUCAGCUUUGAGCGCCCUCUAGUAGUCGGUGCAUUUCCGGGAAGCUGGUGAUACAGCGCCAUCUUGAAAAAAUGAAUCAGGUGUCACUGUCUAACCCCGAGGAAAUCGACAUGGAUUUUUAAGAUCUACAUGUUCCUUGUUGAUGAAAUUUCAUGUAACAUGGUGCUGCCUUCCAGCUGCAUUGAAAUUAUAAAAAUGAGAUUAGUAUUUUGUAUUUUCACAUCCUAAAUGAAAUUCAGUCGCGUUAAAGACACGCCUAAAAAUAAAUAUCUUCUUUUGUAUUUCAAUGAUGGUAAUAAUACCUAAUGCAUGAAAGAUAUUAGAUAUACAAGAAUCUUUAGUUUCAAAUUGACAUUGACAUUAUAUUAAGCCAAGACAAUAUGUUAAAUGUCUUAAUAUUUUAUUUUAUUAUAUACCUAUAUCAAUUCUGUAAAAAAUCGGCUUGUAUUUCACAAUCAAAUAUGAACAGACAGACAAAAAUUCCGUAUUGUACCUUUUAA